AUUGAACGCUGGCGGCAUGCCUUACACAUGCAAGUCGAACGGCAGCACGGGAGCAAUCCUGGUGGCGAGUGGCGAACGGGUGAGUAAUAUAUCGGAACGUGCCCAGUCGUGGGGGAUAACGCAGCGAAAGCUGUGCUAAUACCACAUACGAUCUACGGAUGAAAGCGGGGGAUCGCAAGACCUCGCGCGAUUGGAGCGGCCGAUAUCAGAUUAGCUAGUUGGUGGGGUAAAAGCCCACCAAGGCGACGAUCUGUAGCUGGUCUGAGAGGACGACCAGCCACACUGGAACUGAGACAAGGUCCAGACUCCGACGGGAGGCAGCAGUGGGGAAUUUUGGACAAUGGGCGCAAGCCUGAUCCAGCAAUGCCGCGUGCAGGAUGAAGGCCUUCGGGUUGUAAACUGCUUUUGUACGGAACGAAACGGCUCUUUCUAAUAAAGAGGGCUAAUGACGGUACCGUAAGAAUAAGCACCGGCUAACUACGUGCCAGCAGCCGCAGUAA
rnacentral:rRNA from 1 species